rnacentral:SRP_RNA from 1 species
GCCAGGUGUGGUGGUGUGUGCCUGUAAUCCCAGCUACUCGGGAGGCUGAGGCACGAGAAUUGCUUGAGCCCAGGAGGUGCGGGUUGCAGUGAGCCAAGAUCGUACCACUGCACUCCAGCCUGGGUGACACAGUGAGACCUUGUCUCAA